rnacentral:misc_RNA from 1 species
AUUGCUAAAUUGCUCCACCAACUGAACAUGUAAAAACACAAGGAGUAAGUGAAAGCAUCCCAAGGCUCAGAAAUCACACACUGAAGCAACCAAAACCAGGAAUAAAGAGAAAGUAAGGCAGGAAACAGCAAGCUUUGGAAAAUAUGAAUUGAUAACUGAAAGCUGUCGGUUGGACAUCAUGUGCAAUACAAUGGGCCACCGGUAAAUGAUCCACAACAUUUUAACAGAAAGACACAACCUCUGGUGACAUAAUUUGAGAAAUUGAUCAUAGGGAAUACAUGUCAUUCUCAAGUUGAAAAACCUUAGAUCUGAAUCUAGCAUGAAUGACUUGUUAAGCAGUUCAUCAAAUGAUACAAGUCUUGAAUAUUUGCACAACCAUUUUUGACAAUCCUUUGCUCCAACAACAUCUAGUGUUAAUGAAAUAGUGUGAUAUCUUGCACUGGGUAAUCCUUUUAAAAGGGGGAACACUUUAAUAUUUCAUUCGUACAUCAUCAGAAUAAUUUUUGGAAACAUCACAUAAAUUAGGCAGCCUUAUCCAGUAAAUAAUUUGCUGUAAGUAGCAUUCCCAAACAUAAGAGUGACAUCCUCCAUCCAAAGCCAUUGAAGUUGCCUAAAAUAAUAGCAUCUAAAAAUGAGGAGAUUGAAGAGAUGGACUCAAGAAUUUAAAUUCUUCCAAAUGUCCCAUGGAGCAAUAAGUGUCCCUUUCUAUAAAGUGAAAUAGCCAUCAAAGAAACUGAUGUAAUCAAGCAGAAAGCCAGUAAGAAAGUUUUCCAUCACAAUCAACCCCCAUCUGAAUUAUGUGGACAAUGAUUAAGGAUAUGCAACAAGUUUGAACACAACUGAAUUGAAAUACUUCAGAUAUUUGAAUUAUUAAGUGAUUCAGUAAUGAAGAGGUUGAGGUGGUUUUUGCAAGCUGUGAGACCAAGACAAUUCAAAUCACUAGAAAUACGAAUUUGAAGAAGGCAACUAACCUCUGCAUGGAGUUUCUC